CAUUCUGUUAAGGUCCAAAGGUGACGAAUGAGAAGAGUGAUUAGUAUCGUUAAUUUCGGAAGUUUGGUUUUGAAGAUAAGAAGGAUCAUGAUGAACGACUGUCGAAGACUCUACCAAAGUAGGCGAAUUCUGAAUUUCUUUGGUUGUAGCCAAUGUUUUAGUGGAAAAGGAUGAAGAAGUUAGUGAAUGGGCAUGCCUGUGUAAAAUUGAACUGCUUGGUCUCUCAUGAAUUGUUGCACGCGAGCGAGAUGGAGCCAAAAUGCGCAAGUUUGAAGGAGGGCGUUGAUUUAUUGACGAAGGAGGGCGACGGUUGAUUGAUGAAGAAGGACGAACGAUAUUAGCCGCUUUAGUACGAACAUUGCCUGUAGUUGUCCUCGAAGAGAGAGUGGAUUGAAUGCGAGAAGGUGAACGAACACCUAAAGAAGUACCUGGACGAACGAUUUUAGCUGAUGAAUUUUUCACAUUAACUUCUCUCUGUUCUAAUCUUGAGGGAGUACGCGCCUGCGCGUUACGUGAAACAGGUCGUACAGCUAAUGAAGAAGCUACCCGAACAGUUGAGUUAGAAGUGGCAGAGACGUUGGGUCUUUGAGUAUUGGACGCAGAGUUUUCUCUGAAGAUUCUGGAUCCCGGUCGGACAGUCUGAGCUGCACUUACAGGACGCACGAUCUUGGUCGAUGCGUUGACUUUUACUUUGGAAGGACUAGUAGAAUUCUUUGAGAUACUUCCGGAAGCAUUUGUUACGUUAACUCUAGAUAAUGGACGGGUGGUGGAAGUCCUUGUGGGUGGACGAACGACAGAAGAAUUUCCGAGAGAACGAACAGAAAUUCGAGGAGAAGCUGAAGGCUUGUCGUUAGAGCCAGGAGAUUUGACGACGGGGCUAUCAUCCGACUUUGCAUUGAAGCCGACCUUUGGUGAGCGCACAUUCGGGCCAUUACCAAGGCGUGAUGGUGAACGAACUGCCAUUGAAGAUUUCGCUCUCGGAAUAGCAGCAAUUCUAGCAUUUGAGGACAUUCGGGCGAUAGACGACGUUGAAGGUUUUGUAAUAGUAGCGACAUGUUUAGAGGUCGUUACAGAAGGAGAUUCCUUGGAAGAAAUUGAAUUCUCAUGUAGUGAUGCCUCUUUGGGAAUGCGAGGUGCGUUAUUUGAUAACCUGGCCAAACUAGUCGAGGGUCGAAGACGUUGAGAGGGAUUACGAAUAUUCCGAGCUUUGGCUCGUACAUUAUUAGUCUUUGAAGUAGGAUUAGAUAUUUGGGUAUUUCCUAAUGACUGGCCUUGGGUAACCCGAGAUUGAGAGGUAGGAACUGAUGGUGAAGAAAUGUUUACUUGCUGUAAAGAGGCACUUAAUUUAUCAAUAGCCGAGGAUUCCUCAGUAUCCAUUACAGAGUUCUCACCUCCAUUAUGAAGUUGUGAGGUGGUAGAAUCCGUGAAAAUCGACGUAGAAUGCAGUUCCUUGAGAAUAUUCGAUGUUUGCAUUUGUAGUUGCUCCAGUCUUUGAAGCAUAUUAGACUCGGCCUCUGCCAAAGGCUCUUGGCUUGGUGAACCCGGCAUUGGCAGAAUAAAAUUGAAUAAGACUCGCAAUCAACAACCCUGAAUGCACAAAAGAGAAAGCCAAAUACACUACACCGUUAGCUGGUAUCGCCCAACACUAGGUAGCAAUAACAAACUACGUCCUAUAUUGUUAGUGUAUAUAUAACGAAUUCUAUUAAUCCCCGUAAAACUCUUGCUACCUGAUGCAAACAAAUAAAAUUACCUUCAUAAGUGCUGCACUGUUUACAUAUUUUCUAUCCAGCUGACCGAUUCUUUUCAAUAUAUGUAUUCAUUUGACCAUAAUAAUUAUCGUUAAAUUGUGAUUGCUAUGAAUAUACUUUUCCGUUCCCUCCCAGAUUUCUGUUCCCGUUGUUUUUCCAAAGCAAAUCAUUGAUGGGAGAGAGCAAUGUGAAAAUUAAGAUGCAAGUGUACAAUGAGAAUAACAUGUACACAUUGAGGAAACCCGCUAUAACUCUUCUUCCACAGCAUCAUACCGAUUCUACAAA